UACGUAGGCAGCGAGCGUUUGUUCGGAGUUACUGGGCGUAAAGCGUGCGUAGGCGGUUUUGUAAGUUUGGUGUGAAAUCUCCCGGCUCAACUGGGAGGGUGCGCCGAAAACUGCAAGGCUGGAGUGUGGGAGAGGUAGGCGGAAUUCCUGGUGUAGCGGUGAAAUGCGUAGAUAUCAGGAGGAACACCUGUGGUGUAGACGGCUUACUGGACCAUGACUGACGCUGAGGCACGAAAGCGUGGGGAGCAGACAGG
rnacentral:rRNA from 1 species